rnacentral:rRNA from 1 species
UACGAAGGGGGCUAGCGUUGCUCGGAAUCACUGGGCGUAAAGGGUGCGUAGGCGGGUCUUUUAAGUCAGGGGUGAAAUCCUGGAGCUCAACUCCAGAACUGCCUUUGAUACUGAGGAUCUUGAGUUCGGGAGAGGUGAGUGGAACUGCGAGUGUAGAGGUGAAAUUCGUAGAUAUUACGCAAGAACACCAGUGGCGAAGGCGGACUCACUGGCCCGAUACUGACGCUGAGGCACGAAAGCGUGGGGAG